UACAGCUAGAAAGAGGCACUAUGCAUUUCGGCAGACUACUCGUAAAUAAAACCAUUGUUCUCACGAUAUAACUUACUUAGAGUGCGAGCACUGUGGUGAAGUAUAAUGCAAACAAAAAACAGGUGCCUUUAACGGAUAUUAGCCUCAAGUAAACCAAUAAACUUACUCUAAACUUGAAUUUUUUUUAGAUUUAUUAAGUGAAUAAGAUUUACAUUCGAUAUACGGCUUGUCUGUAUACAACUAUUUAGUGAAAAUUGUGAAUUUCUGCAAAAAGGGUGCUGUUAAAGCAGUUGUACCAAGUAUAAUCAAAGGAAAUUGAAAAAGAAAAUGAACUUGCCAAGGUAGAAAUGAAUCCAAUGUAUAUUAAAAGAAAUAUGUAAAAAUAUAAAUAAAAUAAAUUGUAAUAUCCAAUAAAAUAUAAUAAGCAAAUAUAGUAAUAACACAAUGAACACAAUUAACGUUGUUUUUCAAUAAACUACAUUAAUUUGCCUUUAAAUUGGCAAUUUUUGAAAA